rnacentral:rRNA from 1 species
UACGUAGGGGGCGAGCGUUGUCCGGAUUUAUUGGGCGUAAAGAGCGUGUAGGCGGCCUGGUAGGUCAGCUGUGAAAACUCGAGGCUCAACCUCGAGACGCCGGUUGAAACCAUCAGGCUAGAGUCCGGAAGAGGAGAGUGGAAUUCCUGGUGUAGCGGUGAAAUGCGCAGAUAUCAGGAAGAACACCCGUGGCGAAGGCGGCUCUCUGGGACGGUACUGACGCUGAGACGCGAAAGCGUGGGGAGCGAACAGG